GAGUUACACAGGAAGGACUUAUUCUGUACCAUUUCAGAAUGUAAAUGAGUCACAAGGAAAGAAGACAGCUGGAGGAUGAUGAAGGAGCCCCACGGAAGCCGAGGGAAAACAUGGAGCAGGUCUGGGCUUGCAGUGUCUGCACAGCCUCCCUCUCGCUGCAGGCACCAUGCAGAGCGUGCACCAUGCCUGGGCUGCAGCUUAGCGAGCCUGAGAAUCCAGCCCAGAAACAGCCUGCCAAGUAUUUACUGAUGCUUUUGGAAACACGGAAGAAGGCGGAUGAGUGCUUGUUGCAUGAAAGCUCUUUAUAAUGAUGUAAAUGAAAAGAUCCUGGCUCAAAACAA